GACGAACCGUCCAAACGUUAUUCGGAAUCACUGGGCUUAAAGGGUGCGUAGGCGGCGCGGAGAGUUGGGUGUGAAAUCCCUCGGCUUAACCGAGGAACUGCGCCCAAAACUUCCGUGCUCGAGGGAGAUAGAGGUGAGCGGAACUUAGGGUGGAGCGGUGAAAUGCGUAGAUAUCGGGAGGAACACCUGAGGCGAAGGCGGGCUACUGGGCCGAUACUGACGCUGAGGCGCGAAAGCCAGGGGAGCAAACGGG
rnacentral:rRNA from 1 species